rnacentral:rRNA from 1 species
CAAUAGCGUAUAUUAAAGUUGUUGCGGUUAAAAGCUCGUAGUUGGAUUUCUGCCGAGGACGACCGGUCCGCCCUCUGGGUGAGCAUCUGGGACGGCCUGGGCAUCCUCUUGGGGAACGUAGCUGCACUUGACUGUGUGGUGCGGUAUCCAGGACUUUUACUUUGAGGAAAUUAGAGUGUUUCAAGCAGGCGCACGCCUUGAAUACAUUAGCAUGGAAUAAUAAGAUAGGACCUCGGUUCUAUUUUGUUGGUUUCUAGAGCUGAGGUAAUGAUUAAUAGGGGAUAAUUGGGGGCGAUUUGUAUUAACGCGUCAGAGGUGGAAUUCUUGGAAUUGCGUUACGACAAACUACUGCGAAAGCAUUUGUCCAAGGAUGUUUUCAUUGAUCAAGAACGAAAGU